rnacentral:rRNA from 1 species
CCUACGGGUGGCUGCAGUGGGGAAUAUUGGGCAAUGGGCGCAAGCCUGACCCAGCAACGCCGCGUGAAGGAAGAAGGCUUUCGGGUUGUAAACUUCUUUUGUCAGGGACGAAGCACGUGACGGUACCUUACGCAUACGCCACGGCUAACUACGUGCCAGCAGCCGCGGUAAUACGUAGGUGGCAAGCGUUAUCCGGAUUUACUGGGUGUAAAGGGCGUGUAGGCGGGACUGCAAGUCAGAUGUGAAAACCACGGGCUCAACCUGUGGCCUGCAUUUGAAACUGUGGGUCUGGAGUACUGGAGAGGCAGACGGAAUUCCUAGUGUAGCGGUGAAAUGCGUAGAUAUUAGGAGGAACACCAGUGGCGAAGGCGGUCUGCUGGACAGCAACUGACGCUGAGGCGCGAAAGCGUGGGGAGCAAACAGGAUUAGAUACCCGUGUAGUC